rfam:Gluconacetobacter sp. SXCC-1 Contig2923, whole genome shotgun sequence.
AGGCGUUCUCGGGGCGGGGUGCAAUUCCCCACCGGCGGUAUCUGCUUCCUGUAACGGGGGGCACAAGUCCGCGAGCGCCCGGCCAUUUCUAUGCUGGUCGGGGUCAAGCAGAUCCGGUGUGAUUCCGGAACCGACGGUUACAGUCCGGAUGAGAGAGAACGGAA